GGUUAGCUCAGUGGUAAGGUGCCAGACUGCAGUGCGGGAGGUCACGGGUUCUAUUCCCGGAUGGACCA